GCCCUGACUGGUGUGGCUCAGUGGACUGAGCGCUGGCCUACAAAGCAAAGGGUCAUGGGUUCAAUUCCCAUUCAGGGCG